rnacentral:lncRNA from 1 species
GGUUACCUCCUAAUAAAAAGAUUGAGUUUUCUCUUGAUUUAACUCUUGGCAUUGAUCCAAUUUUCAAAGCUCCAUAUCGGAUAGCUCUAAUAGAACUGAAGAAACUGAAAAAGCAAUUACAAGAGUUGUUGAACAAGGGAUUUAUCAGACUUAAUGUAUCUUAUCUUUUUGAGUUAGUCUCUCCUUAGAAAGAUUGGUGAGCUUCUACAU